rnacentral:tRNA from 1 species
UCCCUGGUGGCUCAGUGGUAAAGAAUCUGCCUACAACGCAGGAUUCGGAGGAGACACAGGUUCGAUCCUUGGCUUGGGAA